CUGUUUUUUUUAGGUGAAUAAAUACAAAGAGAAUGAGUGCGAAGACUUGCCACAGGAGCAACAAAGAUCAGGAAGAGCAGUUCGCUGAAGUUGCAGUAACAGAUCAUCUCACAUCCCUUCCCAUCCCAGAAGUGAUCCUGGACAUUGACAUCAAUCUUCGUCAGGCUUAAAUCCUUCUGGAGUGGCUGAGGGUGAGGUGUAGAGAGAAGCAGCCUCAAGUUUCAACCUUCACAGGUCCCCUCCCAGGAGAGAAGGAGGACCUGUUUUAGGUGAGUAUCUUGACGGAAGGAUUUUCACAAUAAUGAAGCUAAUUGAAAACUAAUUCACAGUAUAUUUGUUGACAUAAUAAUGAGCUACAGACAAAAUCGCCUUUGGAAUGGUCCCUCAAAAUCUUCCAUCUGUUAAAAAGAAACAAUUAACCUGUUUUAUUAACUUAAUUACUUUUGAGCUCCAUAUAAGAGUAUUCUUUUUCAUGAAAACUGUUUAAAGUUUCUUCUGAACCUGGAACAUUUGUGCUGAGAAUGGCUUUUGCAAGUGGAUUGAACAAGAUAACCUCUAGUACCCAGACUUAGCUUUCUGCUACUGCAGAGAAACAGGAAAAUUGACCCACUGAGGAGCCUCCACGAGGCCCAGAGGAGACAGCAGAAUUAAUCACCAAGGGGCUGUGGCCUGUGAUGUCAAGCUUAUGCCACUGUAGCUGCAGGAAGGGACCUGCUUCCCAAAGGCCCUCCUGUUGGAAUUAGGAUGCACUUGGGAACUGCUAGGACCCCAGACAGGCAGCUGUGACUGUAGUGGGGCUCAGGGGA